rnacentral:lncRNA from 1 species
GGGGAUUCAGUAGAGAACUCUAACUUUUGAUUUUUACCUUUGUAUUUUGACUCUUUUACCUUUUUGUAGAACUUUUUUUUAACUUUUUUGAGUAUACAAAAUCCUUUAUUUUGGUUUUCAAAUCGCUUUCAUUUUUCUUCAUUUUCUUUUAUUAUUGCAUUUAUAUAAGCUCCUCAAAACCCUAACAGGUGAUGAUUUGAUCAAACUUGAAAAAUUAUCUUUUAUCCUUCAAAGCCAUGCAACAUACAAGCUUGAUUAUGACUUUCUCCAUGUUGCUGUCAACGUUUGGUGUGUCUUUAGGUUCAAUGGGCAAGAGUUGUGUCCCAUAAUUGAAGAAUUCUCUACCAUUCUUGGAGGCCCUAGGAUUCUACUCAUCCUAUUAUCUUGCCAAAACUUGAUGAGCCUUUUUCUGGCAAACUAAUGGAGUUAUUCGACAUACCCCUAGCUGAGGUACUUUCUCAUUUUAUUGGUGAGUAUAUUACCCUUACUUCUCUGAUCUCCUGCUCUUAGAAGAAGGAAAAGGGCACACCUGCUUGGAUUCCAAUACUGGCCUUUUACCUUUAUGCCCAAUUUCUGUUGAUUACUGCUCAAUGAGGGGAGAUAUUAGAAUUGCUUGCAUUAUUUAUCAGAUGGAGCAUGAAACAGAUCCAAUUUCAGUCAUCUUGAUUGAAACCAUCAUUGGGUUAGACUUGUACAAAGCCCAUCAACGGUUUGGUGGUAGCUUCGUUCUCUUACAGGUAUGCAGCCAAAUCUUUUUUUUUUACUAUUUAUUUUUUUUCUCUUAAUUUUUACCUAAGCCACCCUAUCGAAUUUUCAACUCAGCAGACUUUAUUUUUGCUUAAGCUACCCUUUUAGAUUUUCAACUUAGCUUAUUUUUCUUCUUUUUUUUUUUCCUAUAUGUUCUCUUUUUCUAUCUCUCUUUGUAGAUUUGGCAGCGAGAGAAGAUUUAAACAUUGACCAUCCUGAGGAAUAUCGACAAGUGCGAGUUGAAGCACAUACAAAUUCGAUCUGUUGUUACCCUACAAGGUCAUUAUGACUGGAUUUUCUAGAUGAAGGGCAUUCCAAACACACUCAUUCGUUGGGCCUGCCCUUGGUGGAAGAUCAAGCAUGUCACACUCAUGGUGUAUGGUGAUUUUGUACCCUUACCAGGACUACGGGCAUCC